GAGACGGCGUGGCGAGGAGGGGAACGGGGCGAGGCGGCGGUGGGGAGUAUUUAUAGGGGGAGAGGGGAGGCUCUAGAGGAAAAGAAUCGGGGCUGAGGGGGAAGGGGAUCGGCCUGCCAUGGAAGGCAAGGGCGCUGGGAAGAAAGGAAGGUCACGGGAGAAUAGAGAAGGAAGGAAGAAGAAGAGGGAAGGAAAGAGAG
rnacentral:lncRNA from 1 species